GCACUGCUGAGAAGUCCCACAAUAGGACGAAACGGCUGUCCAGGAU
rnacentral:hammerhead_ribozyme from 1 species